AACGCUAGCUACAGGCUUAACACAUGCAAGUCGCGGGGCAGCAUGAAUUUAGCUUGCUAAAUUUGAUGGCGACCGGCGCACGGGUGAGUAACGCGUAUCCAACCUUCCCUUAUCCACGGGAUAGCCCGUCGAAAGGCGGAUUAAUACCGUAUGAGGUCAUUUGAUGGCAUCUGAUUAUGACGAAAGGUUUAGCGGAUAAGGAUGGGGAUGCGUCCGAUUAGCUUGUUGGCGGGGUAACGGCCCACCAAGGCGACGAUCGGUAGGGGUUCUGAGAGGAAGGUCCCCCACAUUGGAACUGAGACACGGUCCAAACUCCUACGGGAGGCAGCAGUGAGGAAUAUUGGUCAAUGGGCGAGAGCCUGAACCAGCCAAGUAGCGUGCAGGAUGACGGCCCUAUGGGUUGUAAACUGCUUUUAUGCGGGGAUAAAGUGGGGGACGCGUCCCUUUUUGCAGGUACCGCAUGAAUAAGGACCGGCUAAUUCCGUGCCAGCAGCCGCGGUAAUACGGAAGGUCCGGGCGUUAUCCGGAUUUAUUGGGUUUAAAGGGAGCGUAGGCUGGAGAUUAAACGUGUUGUGAAAUGCCGCGGCUCAACCGUGGCACUGCAGCGCGAACUGGUUUCCUUGAGUGCGCUGAAAGUGGGCGGAAUUUGUGGUGUAGCGGUGAAAUGCUUAGAUAUCACGAAGAACUCCGAUUG
rnacentral:rRNA from 1 species